GUCUAUUUAAACAGCGGAGCCGAGCCAUUGGUUACGGCGGACGGCACCGCCCCGUCGGCACGGCCAUACCUCGCAGCCGCCGCCGGCUCUAAAGGUGGCCCUGGCCGGCGGCCGCCCCUUGGCGGGCGGGGAGAGUGUGGGGGGCACGGCACGGCACGGCACGGCGCUCUGCACCGCUCCGCGCACGUGAACCCGCCUCCCGCUGCGGAGUCAAGUAUGGUGAAAGUUGUGCAAGUCGAGGGGGCUAGCUGCAUUUUGACUCGUUAUGGCCAUCGCUCUGCUUUCACCGGGUCUGGAAGUCAGAGCGGGCCGGGAGCUGCAACCCAGCUGGGGCGAGGGAGUGGGUCGCUGCCCCGCAACCCCGUCGUGCUGCCCGCAGAGGGAAAAGGAGAGAGUGAGGAGAGGCUCCUGCUGCCCUGCCGGCAGGGGGGGCCCAGGUGUGGAAGUAGCUGUAAGAAUUCUCAGCAGGGACCUGUGUUCUGAGUUAGCAGGGGAAAGCAAAUAAAAGCCUUCAAGUUUGUGCAGUUUGUGUGUUUUGCAGAUUAGUUGAGUCAGGAGUCAUGGACAGGGUUUUCUGAGCCAUUCCUCUGAUUCCUACAGCAGGUCCGCUGGAGUUAAGAGCAGUCCAGUGUUCUCCUCCUAGCCCUCCUUGUUCCCACUCCUUUCUACAGCCAGCAUCCCUUACUCAGGACAGCCCCACAGGACAUAAGGCCUUGCAGUUGUGACCGGCCACCAAAACUUACCCUGCAGUUGCUGUUUUGGACUGGGGCCUCACCUGUGCAGGCAUUGGAAAGGGAACAGAAUCAGCAUGCAGUGCUUAUCCCCAGGGCACAAUUGUCUGUGGGCCUCCUUCCCUGAGGCAGCAGCCCCCCACCUUGCUCAGCCUGCUCUCCUGGGUCAGCCUGGUCUUGUCAGCCCUGAAUUCAAAAAGUGAUGUGUGCAGCCAAAGAGAAAAAUAAAAAUGUUUGAAAAACACAA